ensembl:lncRNA
GAGAGAAAAGUAGGAAAGAGGAAAAGAGUAAAGUGUGAGAAAAAAGCAAAGAGAGAAGAGAGGAAAAAGAAGAAAGUUUAAGGAAAGAACAAAGAGAAAAAGAACAAAGUGUGAGGAAAGAGGAUAGAGGAAAAAAGACUAAGUGUGAGAGAAAGGGGAUAGAGGAAAAAAAGACUAAGUGUGAGAGAAAAGGGGAUAGAGGAAAAAAAGACUAAGUGUGAGAGAAAAGGGGAUAGAGGAAAAAAAGACUAAGUGUGAGAGAAAAGGGGAUAGAGGAAAAAAAGACUAAGUGUGAGAAAAAAGGGGAUAGAGGAAAAAAGACUAAGUGAGAGAAAAGGGGAUAGAGGAAAAAAAGACUAAGUGUGAGAGGAAAAAAAGACUAAGUGUGAGAGGAAAAAAGACUAAGGAAAGAGUGAGGAAAGAGGAAAAAGAACAAAGUGCUGCUUUACUCUUGUGUUUGAUUGUUUCAGAUGCUGAGAGAUCAAGCGGUGGACGUUCAUAGAGGAGAGGUGAGUUAGACAUUGUCACACAUUGCUGCUUUAUUCAUGUGUUUGUUUUUUUCAGAUGCUGAGAAGCCAAGUGGUGGACGUCCAGAGAGCAGAGAUCCUGAGAGAUCAAGUGGUGGACGUCCAGAGAGGAGAGAUCCUGAGAGAUCAAGUGGUGGACGUCCAGAGAGGAGAGGUGAGUUACACAUUGUCACACAUUGCUGCUUUAUUCAUGUGUUUGAUUGUUUCAGAUGCUGAGAGACCAAGUGGUGGACGUCCAGAGAGGAGAGAUCCUGAGAGAUCAAGUGGUGGACGUCCAGAGAGGAGAGGUCCUGAGAGAUCAAGUGGUGGACGUCCAUAGAGGAGAGAUCCUGAGAGAUCAAGUGGUGGACGUCCAGAGAGGAGAGAUCCUGAGAGACCAAGUGAUGGACGUCCAGAGAGGAGAGAUGCUGAGAGACCAAGCGGUGGACGUCCAGAGAGCAGAGGUGAGUUACACAUUGUCACACAUUGCUGCUUUAUUCAUGUGUUUGAUUGUUUCAGAUGCUGAGAGACCAAGUGGUGGACGUCCAGAGAGGAGAGAUCCUGAGAGAACAAGUGGUGGACGUCCAGAGAGGAGAGAUCCUGAGAGACCAAGUGGUGGACGUCCAGAGAGGAGAGAUCCUGAGAGAUCAAGUGGUGGACGUCCAGAGAGGAGAGAUCCUGAGAGAUCAAGUGGUGGAC